UACAGUAGUUUUAUAAGUAAUGUUAAGGGUUUAAAUAUGAACUAAUAUGAACAAUACCUGUACAGCAUAAUUUAUGUACAGCAUUUACUAAUGCAUUAAUUAAAUCAGUCAUGCUUGUUAACAUUAGUUAAUACAUUGCGAGUUAACAUGAAUAAACAAUUAACAACUUUUUACCAUUCACCAACAUUAGCAAAGAUGAAUACAUACUGUAAUAAAUGUAUUUUUUAUUAUGUUAGUAAAUACAUUAACUAAUACAUACAACCUUAUUGUAAAGUGGUAGCCAUUCAACAAUGAGUUUUCUAUAAUAAAAACCCAUUCAACACCCUACAUUCCUCCAGGGGCGCUACAGGCAUCUAAGUUAACACAAGCUCCAGCUCACACUGCCCAAAUGGCCAAUCAGCAUCCACUAAACCCAAUUUCAGUGCCACGACCCACUUUUAACCCUAUGCAUACAACAGUUACUCAUAAUGCUAUGCCCCACACAGACAGUGAUAUUAUACCACCAACAGCUCCUCAUCAGAGAGUGGCAGCUGCAUCCAACAUGCCUAUUUGCCCACAGCCCUUUGCAAAUGCACCUGUUUCCCAAACUGGCUACUUGCCUCAACCCGGAACAGAGCUUUUGAUGGCCGCAGCCUAUGGCAUCCCUCGCCCAACACUACCUGUGUUUGAAAGUGGUACAGAAAGUGACUUUGCCCUCCUGAAAUUGGCCUUAGACAGCCUACUAAGUCCCCAUACUCACAUUAGCGAGCAAUACAAAUACCAAGUAUUAAUGAGUCAUCUGAAAUUUGCUAGUGCACAACAGCUAGCUAAAGCUUAUAUGCACCACCCACAACCUUACACCGCAGCCUUACAAGCUUUACAGGCGAAGUAUGGCCAGCCCAGACAGCUAGUUCAAUCCGAAUUAGGGGCUAUUAUGAGUACAUCACCACUUAAAAUAGGUGACGCAAACUCAUUUGACUUAUUCGCCCUGUUUGUCCAAUCCCUAGUCUGUAUGCUGAGGACUCUAGAGGGCCAGAAUGGAUUUGAGCUCAUGUGUGGUUCCCAUGUUGACCGCCUUUUAGGAAAAAUGCCCCCUGCCUACAGGGAUAGCUUUGUGGAGUACUGCUUUAGUCAUGGCAUCCUUCAAUCUGGUACAGACAGAACAUAUACACUUCCCGACCUAGCAGCCUGGUUACAGACAAAAUCCUAAGCCAAGCGGAUCUCCAGUAGAGCAGUUGCUAUGUUCCAGUCAGAUAUUACAAAGUCAUCUGGCAGGAGUAAAAGUUCUUCAUAUCAUUGGGAACGUCCAACAACUUCGUUUCUGACUUCAGAAAAUGCUGUUAAGCCACAAGCAGCAACACCAGCAAAAGGUCCCAAGCCAAAGCCGUACUGCCGUACUGUGACAACCCAGACCACUAUCUGAACUCAUGUGACAAAUUCAAGAAGCUGACCAUCGAUCAAAUCGUCAGUUGGAUCACAAGAGACAAACGCUGUUGGAAGUGUGGGAGGAAUCACGUAGUUAAUACUUGUAACCUCAAGCGGCCAUUUAAAAUAUGCAAAGAAAUCCAUCUUACCAUACUGCAUGACUCAAUUAAAGACACUUCCAGAGCAGUUCUGAUGGUGAGUUUGCCUUCGACACAAAUCUAUCUGGAUAGACCUAACUGCUCACAGAAGGUGAUGCUCAAGGUCGCACGAGUUCACAUGCACAGUCAAACCCAAACCAUUGAGGCUUAUGCCGUGCUCGACGAUGGCUCAGAAAGGACUAUUGUCCUCCCUCAAGUAGUUCUACAGCUUGGGCUUAGUGGAGCUCCAGAAGUGCUUUCUCUGCAGACAAUCAAGCGAAACCAUACUAACUUUGAUGGGUCCAAAGUCACCUUUGAGGUCUCUCCAUUUGCCAAGACAUCAGAGAGGUAUGUCACACGCAAUGCCUUUUUUGCCCCUGGUCUAUGUCUUGCUGAGCAUAACUACCCUGUUGCAGCACUCCAGAAAUCAUACCAAGCCGUUACUCUUCAUCGGCUCUGACCUGCCACACCUCCUGACGCCAACACUGCCAGUACGGAGGGGACCAGAUGGUGGCCCCGUUGCUAUACGUACCAAGCUUGGUUGGGUACUUCAGGGACCAAUGAGUCCAAUUCAGCCCCCCAAAGGCCUGCAACAAUGCCUACAUAUUAUGACAGCCCCAUCACGUGAAGAGCUGUCUCAGCAUGUGGAGCGCUUGUGGCAAAUUGACACAUUGCCAUACAAUGAAAAGCUGAUAACAAGAUCACAGCAAGACAAACAAUGUCAUAACCUCUUACAGACUACUACUGUCAGAGUAGACAUAAAUGGGAUACAGCGUUACGCUACUCCACUGCAAAGACGUACCCCCAUCACUUUGCUCCAUACAGGCAUUGAAGCUGUAUUGCCCAGACCAGAAACCUUGAAAGAAAAUUAGCCAACAAUCCUGAGCAGGCACAGGUUUACUGUUCUGAGAUCCAAAAGCUUGAGUCAGCAUGUUACAUCACAAAGAUAACACCACAAGAGGCAAACAACUCCACAGAGUCAUGGUUUAUUCCACAGCACCUGGUGCAUCAUAAUGGAAAAGAUCGUAUCGUUUUUAACUGCUUCUUCCAGUAUAAUGGCCAAAGUCUAAAUGAACAACUUCUUCCUGGGCCAAUGCUAGGACCAUCUCUGUUGGGGGUGAUAUUGAGGUUCCGACAGCAUGCCGUUGCAGUGAGUGGGAAUAUCAAAGGCAUGUUUCACCAAGUGCGUCUGUUACCUGGGGACCGGCCUGUGCUGCGAUUCAUCUGGAGGAACAUGAAUAGGGAGGCAGUUCCGGACAUUUACGAAUGGCAGGUUGUUCCAUUUGGCACAACAUGCAGCCCGUGCUGUGCCAUUUAUACCCUUCAGUGCCAUUCCCAGAAAAACAGAGAAAGUAGGCCAGACCUAGCUGAUAUUGUGGAGACCUCAUUUUACGUCGACAACUGCCUACACAGUACCCCCAAUCAAGAUGAAGCCAAAGCUAUAAUUGAUGGCCUACGAGAGUCACUGUUAAAGGGAGGCUUUGAAAUCUGACAGUGGGCGUGCAACGUACCUUCUGUCCUGAAGCAUCUUCCAUCAGAGGCUAUAUCGGCUAGUAGCGAGUGCUGGUUGUCCCAGAGUAGCUCUUACCUGCAGGAACUCACCCUUGGCUUGCAAUGGAACUGUAUUGAUGACACCCUUGGUUAUAAAAACCGCAUAGCCGAACUCAUCCAGCCAACAAUGAGGAACCUGUACAAAACCCUGGCUAGUCAGUUUGACCCCCUGGGCUUUAUUAUACCCUUUACCACUAGGGCUAAAACCUUGAUUCAGGAUCUCUGGAAACAAAACCUAAGCUGGGAUGACCCUAUCGAACCCUUAUACUUGCGUGAUAAAUGGUCCACAUGGGUUGCAGAACUCUCCCAUAUCACUAAAGUACAAUUCGCCAGACCAUACGCUCCUGCAAUGUCAGAUACUCCCUCCACCAUUAGAGUUACAUGUAUUCUGUGACGCCUCAGAAAGGGCAUAUGGCUCGGUGGCGUAUCUUCAAAUCCGGAAUGAGGAGAAGGUCCAUGUAUCCUUUGUCCUAGCUCGCUCUAAAAUGGCUCCUCGCAAAUGUGUGCUGCACACUCUGGCGCUCAGAUGUCAAAGGUCAUACAAGCUGAGCUUACUAUCCCCAUACACCAAGUUACACAUUGGACCGACUCAACUACUGUGCUGCAUUGGCUAAAGUCAGAAUCUUGCCGGUACAAAGUGUUUGUAGGGUCGAGAGUAGCUGAAAUUCAGACACUGACAGAUGUUUCCAGGUGGAGGUAUGUUGACUCCAACAGAAACCCCGCCGACCACAUUACCAGGGGGCUUACUUUAGAAGAAAUAGCAGGCCCUCACCAGUGGAGAUAUGGACCAUCAUUCUUGACUCAACCACAGGAAGUAUGGCCAGUGACACCCAGCACAAAGUCUGAGCCUGAUUUGAAUGAAGUCAAACGAGCAUCGUUCAUUGCAGCCAUUAGUGUUACCCCAAGCCCAGUACCAGCAGACCUCAGUUAGUUCAGAACUUGGAAGGAACUUCUUCAAGCAACUGUCAUGUCAUGUGAUGGGGCGGCUGACGCUGAAACUACAAACGAUGCCUCAAAGUAUAUACAGGCGGGAAAGCUUCUCUUAGCGCAUGCUCAGCUUGAUUCGUUCCCAGAGGAAUUUAGAGCCCUGAAAGCUGGACAGCCCAUUCCGACAGAUAGCCGUUUUCGACAAAGAUGCUGAGUUGAUAAGAGUGGGUGGACGUCUUCGUCGUGCUGAAACCCUGUCAUUUGAUACCAUUCACCCGAUCGUUCUAGACUCUCACCAUCAAGUCACAAAGUUACUGAUCCAAGACAUAUAUCAACAACUCCAUCACCCUGGUGCGAAACGAGUACUAGCAGAGCUAAGGCGUCGAUAUUGGGUGCUUAGAGGUCGUGAAGCUGUGCGCAAACACCAGCAUUUCUGUCAGAAGCCUGCUGAAAUACUCUGUGAUAAUGGGACUAAUUUUGUAGGAGGGGACCACGAGUUAAGAGACUCAUUUAAGCAAAUGGCCUCAAAGCUUCAGACACUGCUAGCUCAACAGCAGAUUCAGUUUCGAUUUUACCCACCAAACGCACCUCACUUUGGUGGAACCUGGGAGCGAGAAGUAAAAUCGGUUAAGGCUGCUUUGCAAGUCAUUCUUCGGGAACAAUGUGUACCAGAGUCUUUCCUACAAACCUUACUAGUGGAGGUGGAGGGCAUACUAAAUUCCAAACCCUUGGGCUACGUCUCAUCUGACAUUGCUGACCCAGAUCCUGUAACCCCAAAUAUGAUACUAAUGGGACGUCAUGAUGCCUCCUUGUCCCAAGUCCUUUAUGACUCUAAUGAGAUGCUGGGUAAACGCAGUUGGCGACACAGUCAAGUACUGGCUGACCAAUUCUGGGCCGCAUUUGUCCAUCGCUACUUACCAGAACUACAGGGCAGGGAAAAAUGGAGAACAGAUGGCAAAGGGCUGGUAGUCGGCCAAGUUGUACUACUAAUAGAUAAUCAACUACCGCGUGCGCUGUGGCCUGUGGGAACUGUUACGGAGACCUAUGCAGGGGCGGACGGGAGGAUUCGAACUGCCAAAGUCCAAGUCAAGGAUAAGUCGUAUCUGAGGCCUGUUGUAAAACUCAUUCAAAUUCUGGAAAUGAAGGAUAAAGACACAGAAACCAAAGAUGGCCUUUCUUAAGGGUUACAAUUAUCUUUAUCGAUAAUUGGGGGUGGCUAUGUCAGAAAGCCCACUAGGAACCGAAAAUAUUCAGCGAGUUUCACAUGGACUGUUAUUAGCGGUGCAACUUCCCAUACUCGGAUGCCAGGCCAGAUCCCAAUGCGCUCCUUUUCUUCCGACAUGUUGUGCGUUCAUGCACCAAAUACCACAACAUACUUGAAGGAAAGUUUGAUGGCACUGACUGCUUAAUAAUUGUUAUUAAAGAAGUUUGAAGAGGA